rnacentral:misc_RNA from 1 species
CUUGAGCCUUUAAUAACUAUGCUCUUCAGUGGUUUGCUAGUGUUUCAAAAGCAUUCAGAAAACCAUGCAUGUCACAGUGUUUGGGGGGUGGUUUGCAUACUAGAUUAAAUAUGCCUCAGUGAGUGUUUGGUUUAAGUUAUUAAUAGAAUGCUGCUUUGUACUGGAGUCCUACCUAUGAGAACAACUUUUGUUCAUGCAGGCCUUUGUGGUUGGCAGGCAGGUGAUGUAAUUUAAUGACGUUACUUAGUUUUAACACCACACCAUUCUUUCUGAAGUUAAUUUUUUUAAUCUGGAUAUUAUUGAGUACAAAACAAAUUUAUAAUGCUCUCGGAUUGUAAAAUAUGUGCUUAUACUUUGAAUUUGUCUCAGGCUGUGAAUCUGUGAUUGCUGGAGAAAAUGCAGGGUUUUCCUAUGAGAAUCUGCAGCAUUACUGUGUAGAUCCUGAUAUCCAUUUCCAUACUGUAUUCUAUGACAGUGGUGGAAACCAAAUUGUCCCAGCUUUGUUACCUGACAAGUUGUACAUCCUUGGCUGUUUGACUGGUAAUCUAGUAUUAGACCUAUGUUGAUUCCUUAUAGACUGUGUGGCUCCCUAGCUUCAGCCUCAAACUGCUUCAUUGAAGCAAGGAAAUGAAAGUGUAUUAUUUUUAGUUAAAUUGUACAGUGUCAUUGGAAUGAUCAUUUGAAGUUGCUUUGCUCACAAGGUCGAAUUAUCUAUCACUCUCUGCUUAUUGUGUUGCUUUCCAUGUGUAUUAGCUCUUUGGCAGUUUUAAGUUCAUGUGAGCCAUUGAUAAAUGUGAAGUGGUAACUUUUGUAGGAAUGCACCUUUAGCUCCAUCAGACAUGUAU